UCCGAUAUGGUGUAGUGGCUAACAUUAUCCCCUCUCAUACGGUAAAGGCUAAGCCGUGACGCGAUAGCUCGGGGUUCAAUUCCUUGUGUCGGAA